CAAAAAGUAGGAGGAAAUUUAGGGUAUGUCUAGUCAUUGAUUUCAAACAUGAAAUUAUGAUUUAAUUUGAAAAUUAGGUUAAUUUGCUUUGAUUUUUAUACUUUUAUUUACCUAAAGGGUUCCAAAUAGUAGUAGUAAUUAGUUUUAUUGGGUUUACGAAUUGUAUGAUAUAGUAAUAGCUAUUAGUUCUAACAAAUAUUUGUGCCAGCAGUUGCGGUUAUACAAAAGGUGCUACUUAAUUUUUGUGGUUUUAGUUAAUUAAUUGUUAAUUUAGAAUAUUUAUAUUGGGAGGUGAAAUUUUAAUAGAAAAUAAAGGAUAAAAAAAUAAGAUGAUCUAGGAAAAUAUUAUUUUAAACCAGGAUUAGAUACCCUGUUAUUGAUAUCGUAAUUAUUGGAACCUGAUUAGUAUUAGUUAAGUGCUUGAAAAUUAAAUAUCUUGGCGGUACUUGAACCUACCAGAGGAACCUGUCCUGUAAUUGAUAGUCCACAAUUUAUUUUACUUUUAUAUUGCUUGUAUAUCGUUGUUGAAAUGAAUAUUUCUAAAGAAGAAUAAUUUUCUUUAAAUAAAAUUUUAUUUUAGAUCAAAUCAAGGUGCAGCUUUUAAAAGGAGAGAUGGGUUACAUUAAUAAGUUAAAAUUUGUAAAAUUUUUUCUAUUAGGAUUUGGUAGUAAUUUUAUUUAUUAAAAUUAAAUGAAUUGGGAUCUAUAGUAUGCACAUAUCGCCCGUCGCUUUCAUGAAUUUGUGGAAUAAGUCGUAACAUAGUAGAUCUAUCGGAAGAUGGGUCUGGAAUGAC
rnacentral:ncRNA from 1 species